rnacentral:tRNA from 3 species
GGGCGGUUAGCUCAGUUGGUUAGAGCGCCUGCCUUACAAGCAGGAGGUCGCAGGUUCGAGUCCUGCACUGCCCACCA